UACGUAUGGUGCAAGCGUUAUCCGGAUUUACUGGGUGUAAAGGGAGCGCAGGCGGCACGGCAAGCCUGAUGUGAAAGCCCGCGGCCCAACCGCGGGACUGCAUUGGGAACUACCGGGCUGGAGUGCCGGAGAGGUAGGCGGAAUUCCUAGUGUAGCGGUGAAAUGCGUAGAUAUUAGGAGGAACACCAGUGGCGAAGGCGGCUUCCUGGACGAAAACUGACGCUGAGGUACGAAAGCGUGGGGAGCAAACAGG
rnacentral:rRNA from 1 species